CGUAAAGCGUGCGUAGGUGGUUUGUUAAGUCUGAUGUGAAAUCCCCGGGCUCAACCUGGGAAUUGCAUUGGAGACUGCAAGGCUAGAAUCUGGCAGAGGGGGGUAGAAUUCCACGUGUAGCAGUGAAAUGCGUAGAGAUGUGGAGGAACACCGAUGGCGAAGGCAGCCCCCUGGGCCGAUACUGACGCUCAGGCACGAAAGCGUGGGGAGCAAACAG
rnacentral:rRNA from 1 species